rnacentral:rRNA from 1 species
AUUGAACGCUGGCGGCAGGCCUAACACAUGCAAGUCGAACGGUAGCACAGAGGAGCUUGCUCCUUGGGUGACGAGUGGCGGACGGGUGAGUAAUGUCUGGGAAACUGCCCGAUGGAGGGGGAUAACUACUGGAAACGGUAGCUAAUACCGCAUAACGUCGCAAGACCAAAGAGGGGGACCUUCGGGCCUCUCGCCAUCGGAUGUGCCCAGAUGGGAUUAGCUAGUAGGUGGGGUAACGGCUCACCUAGGCGACGAUCCCUAGCUGGUCUGAGAGGAUGACCAGCCACACUGGAACUGAGACACGGUCCAGACUCCUACGGGAGGCAGCAGUGGGGAAUAUUGCACAAUGGGCGCAAGCCUGAUGCAGCCAUGCCGCGUGUAUGAAGAAGGCCUUCGGGUUGUAAAGUACUUUCAGCGAGGAGGAAGGCGUUGUGGUUAAUAACCGCAACGAUUGACGUUACUCGCAGAAGAAGCACCGGCUAACUCCGUGCCAGCCGCCGCGGUAA